ensembl:lncRNA
CAUUAACAUAGCCUUGGUUGCUGUAGAUUUACAUUUCCUGGAGAUGGCAGCAAAGUACACAGAAGCAAAGGGACCAACCAUACCACAUAAACAAGCGGCAAGAUUAAUGGCGCUGUGCAGUUCUGGGGAUGACUGACGAAAUGCAUCGGCCUCUUCUGCUCUCAAGUGACAGGGCAGGUACCAAUACUUCUGGAUCAUCACCCUGAAGAAACAGGAUUGUAUGAAAAAAUUAAUUAUCUGCUUAUUUAAUAUGUAAAACCAUGCAGAUUAAAAUUUUUUUUUGACUGAACUGGGUCUUUGUUGCUGUCCACAGGCUUUUUCUAGUUGAGGCAGGCAGGGGCUACUCUUUGUU